UCAAGCAAAAAAGAGCGCAGGGUGGAUGCCUUGGCACUAAGAGCCGAUGAAAGACGUGAUAAGCUGCGAAAAGCUGCGGGGAGGAGCAAAUAUCCACUGAUCCGCAGAUGUCUGAAUGGGGAAACCCGCAUGAGCAACCCUCAUGCAUCCAUACGCCAAUCCAUAACGUAUGGAAGGGAACCGCCUGAACUGAAACAUCUAAGUAGGGCGAGGAAGAGAAAGAAAAUUUAUCGAUUUCCAAAGUAGCGGCGAGCGAAAUGGAAAGAGGCCAAACCGGAGUGCGUGCACUCCGGGGUUCGGACCGCAUUUAAGAUUCAGUGAUUCUAGCAGAAAGGUUUUGGGAAAGCCUGCCGGAGAGGGUGAAAGCCCCGUAAGCGAAAGAGAAACUGACUGAGCGGUAUCCAGAGUACAUCGAGACACGAGAAACCUUGAUGGAAUGAGCGGGGACCACCCCGUAAGCCUAAAUACUCCUUAGUGACCGAUAGCGCAUAGUACUGUGAAGGAAAGGUGAAAAGGACCCCGGGAGGGGAGUGAAAGAGAACCUGAAACCCUGUGUUUACAAGCUGUGGGACAUCUUUACAUGAUGAACCGCGUACUUUUUGUAGAACGGUCCGGCGAGUUGCGGAUGCCGGCAAGGUUAAGCACUUAAGGUGUGGAGCCGAAGGGAAACCAAGUCUGAAGAGGGCGCAUAUAGUCAGUAUCCGCAGACCCGAAACCGGGUGAUCUACCCAUGUCCAGGUUGAAGUUGCCGUAAAAGGCAAUGGAGGACCGAACGCACAUCCGUUGAAAAGGGUGGCGAUGAGGUGUGGGUAGGGGAGAAAUUCCAAUCGAACCCGGAGAUAGCUGGUUCUCCUCGAAAUAGCUUUAGGGCUAGCCUCGUUUUAGUCUUAUGGAGGUAGAGCACUGAAUUUCCGCGGGGGCGUCAAAGCUUACCAAAGAAUAUCAAACUCCGAAUGCCAUGUAGAUGAUGAACGGGAGUCAGACUGCACGAGAUAAGUUGGGCAGUCAAAAGGGAAAGAGCCCAGACCGCCAGCCAAGGUCCCAAAGUGUGUGUUAAGUGGAAAAGGAUGUGGGAUCUCCAAGACAACUAGGAUGUUGGCUCAGAAGCAGCCACACAUUCAAAGAGUGCGUAACAGCUCACUAGUCGAGAGGUCCUGCGCCGAAAAUGUCCGGGGCUGAAACACAACACCGAAGCUGCGGAAUUGCGAAUGCAAUUGGUAGAGGAGCAUUCUUAAUACCGACGAAGCUGUACCGGAAGGAGCAGUGGAGGGAUAAGAAGAGAGAAUGCCGGAAUGAGUAGCGAGAGAGAGGUGGGAAUCCUCUCGGCCGAAUAUCCAAGGUUUCCAGAGUAAAGCUGAUCUGCUCUGGGUAAGUCGGGGCCUAAGGCGAGGUCAAGAGACGUAGCCGAUGGACAACAGGUUUAGAUUCCUGUACCGCAUAUAAACAGAACUGUGGGGACGCAUGGGGAGAGCAUGGGCCGGGAAUGGAAAUACCGGUGCAAGCGAAGGAGGUGUGCAGCCGGCAAAUCCGCUGCAUGAGCCGAAAGCGUGACGCGGAGCGAAAUGAAAGUAGCGAAGCAUGUGAGCCCUGUGCCGAGAAAAGCCGCUAUAGCUUUAUAUGUGCCCGUACCGUAAACCGACACAGGUGGAUGAGGAGAGAAUCCUAAGGCCGGCGGAAGAAGUAUUGUUAAGGAACUCGGCAAAAUGACCCCGUAACUUCGGGAGAAGGGGUGCCCACGGGAGUGGGCCGCAGAGAAUAGGCUCAAGCAACUGUUUAGCAAAAACACAGGUCUAUGCGAAACCGAAAGGUGAAGUAUAUGGGCUGACGCCUGCCCGGUGCUGGAAGGUUAAGAGGAGAGGUCAGCGCAAGCGAAGCUUUGAAUUUAAGCCCCAGUAAACGGCGGCCGUAACUAUAACGGUCCUAAGGUAGCGAAAUUCCUUGUCGGGUAAGUUC
rnacentral:rRNA from 1 species